CCGUCAAUGAGGAUGACAACUCACCAGCGGCAGACACGAAGCUGACAGUGAGCCUCGGUGUGAGCCUUCUCCCUCCAGCCAGACUCUAUAUGGUGCCUGUGUGGUGUCUCGUAUUUCAGCUCUAUGCUGCAGACCAGCUACUUCUGCCCUCGAACUGUAUGCCUUUGAGCAGAGACCAGACCUCAUGAGCCGCUUCUCUUCCAUCUUGGAAUGAUGAUGUCUUCUACAAGUUGUGUGCAGCUGAGCAUUUUGGAGCCCCGAGGAACCCUGGAGUCUAAGCCCACUUGAGUCACACAAUUUAGAGACAAGAGACAAUGAUAUUUUAAGAAGGUUUGCAAUCCUCCCAAGACCCCACAAGGAACUUCAGGCUGGGACCAACUGUCUCCUGGGGACAGAGCUGCACCAUUCUCUCGAGGCCCUGGAGAGACCUGUAGGUACUCACCCAUCUCCCUUGUGGUUGCCAGUGCUUAGUGGUAUCCCACGGGGACAUCAAGGCAUAAGACACACAGCCUGUUUCCCAUGUGUCUUCUGAAAAGCCCAAGGGAACCACUCCCACUGUAUGUGCAAGUACAAGUCAGAGGAUCUGCAGCUGAGGACCAGCACCCCAGCCCAGAGAGAAAGACUCAAGCAUCACUGUGGCAUAGCACUGCACAAACCUUUCCCAAUGGGGGGAAGUCACCGUGGCAGAGGUGGGGGACAGACCACAGAGUUUCCAUCUCAUCUCCCAGAGAAGAGGAUCAACCAUGGGACCCAUCCGACCAAGCUUGAAUACAGAUGCAUUAUAGCCUUAGGCUUUUUCUCCAGGCAGCUCUGGACAGCCACUCAAGUGUUUGAGAGUCCAAAAGGAAAUCCACACAUUUUUAUCUACUAUUGGAAAGGCAUUUGACUUAGAUUUACCAUAGCGUCUAAAAUAAUCACACAACAAAUGAGAGUUUCUGUUUGCACCUGGGAAGGAAUUCAUCCCAGAGGUGUGUCCCACCAAUGACCCUGGUGAUUCGUGGACUAGGAAACUGAGACUCUGCGAAGCAACGUGAUCAGACACAAACCAUGCAGAGAAUCACUACCACUCCAGACCUGGAAUGGGACUCUCACCGCUUCCUGUAGGGCAUUCUUCCCACUUCUUCUCAGAUACUCAAACCCCACACCCAGCUCUGAUCCAUAUCUGCGUAGAUUCUUCCUCUAUAUCCAUGAGUUCUUGAGUCAUUUGAAGCAGUCUGAGUGUUGGCUGAGUACACCACAUUGGUGGAGUCAACUCUGCUCUCUUACUGGGAUGGACUGAGUGUAUUAAGCAGCAAUUACCAACGCAAUGUCAUGUAACGCCUAACCAGUUGCCAGUGAUAACAACUCUCAACUGCAAGGAUGGGAUCUUAUGCUCACGGAUCCACAGCUUUGGGAAUGUGAAGUGGGUGAUCUUGACUCCAGGCUGAGCUUAGAUUCCCUGUGGCUCAAUGUGUAUUUGAUCUAGGCCAAGCUCAAGAGCAACAGUUUCCUGAGUGAAGCUUUUGAGUAGUAGUGUGGUGCCUUUGGAAGCCUCAGCUGAAACAGCCAGUCUUCACUUCCACCUCUGUUCCAUUGGCCAAAGAGAGACCCCAGAGCAAAUGGGCCUGGGAAACGCCCUUGAGAAGGAAGAGCUGCCCUUGGCUCA